rnacentral:rRNA from 1 species
AGCGUACACGGUGGAUGCCCUGGCAGUCAGAGGCGAUGAAGGACGUGCUAAUCUGCGAUAAGCGUCGGUAAGGUGAUAUGAACCGUUAUAACCGGCGAUUUCCGAAUGGGGAAACCCAGUGUGUUUCGACACACUAUCAUUAACUGAAUCCAUAGGUUAAUGAGGCGAACCGGGGGAACUGAAACAUCUAAGUACCCCGAGGAAAAGAAAUCAACCGAGAUUCCCCCAGUAGCGGCGAGCGAACGGGGAGGAGCCCAGAGCCUGAAUCAGUGUGUGUGUUAGUGGAAGCGUCUGGAAAGGCGCGCGAUACAGGGUGACAGCCCCGUACACAAAAAUGCACAUGCUGUGAGCUCGAUGAGUAGGGCGGGACACGUGGUAUCCUGUCUGAAUAUGGGGGGACCAUCCUCCAAGGCUAAAUACUCCUGACUGACCGAUAGUGAACCAGUACCGUGAGGGAAAGGCGAAAAGAACCCCGGCGAGGGGAGUGAAAAAGAACCUGAAACCGUGUACGUACAAGCAGUGGGAGCACGCUUAGGCGUGUGACUGCGUACCUUUUGUAUAAUGGGUCAGCGACUUAUAUUCUGUAGCAAGGUUAACCGAAUAGGGGAGCCGAAGGGAAACCGAGUCUUAACUGGGCGUUAAGUUGCAGGGUAUAGACCCGAAACCCGGUGAUCUAGCCAUGGGCAGGUUGAAGGUUGGGUAACACUAACUGGAGGACCGAACCGACUAAUGUUGAAAAAUUAGCGGAUGACUUGUGGCUGGGGGUGAAAGGCCAAUCAAACCGGGAGAUAGCUGGUUCUCCCCGAAAGCUAUUUAGGUAGCGCCUCGUGAAUUCAUCUCCGGGGGUAGAGCACUGUUUCGGCAAGGGGGUCAUCCCGACUUACCAACCCGAUGCAAACUGCGAAUACCGGAGAAUGUUAUCACGGGAGACACACGGCGGGUGCUAACGUCCGUCGUGAAGAGGGAAACAACCCAGACCGCCAGCUAAGGUCCCAAAGUCAUGGUUAAGUGGGAAACGAUGUGGGAAGGCCCAGACAGCCAGGAUGUUGGCUUAGAAGCAGCCAUCAUUUAAAGAAAGCGUAAUAGCUCACUGGUCGAGUCGGCCUGCGCGGAAGAUGUAACGGGGCUAAACCAUGCACCGAAGCUGCGGCAGCGACGCUUAUGCGUUGUUGGGUAGGGGAGCGUUCUGUAAGCCUGUGAAGGUGUGCUGUGAGGCAUGCUGGAGGUAUCAGAAGUGCGAAUGCUGACAUAAGUAACGAUAAAGCGGGUGAAAAGCCCGCUCGCCGGAAGACCAAGGGUUCCUGUCCAACGUUAAUCGGGGCAGGGUGAGUCGACCCCUAAGGCGAGGCCGAAAGGCGUAGUCGAUGGGAAACAGGUUAAUAUUCCUGUACUUGGUGUUACUGCGAAGGGGGGACGGAGAAGGCUAUGUUGGCCGGGCGACGGUUGUCCCGGUUUAAGCGUGUAGGCUGGUUUUCCAGGCAAAUCCGGAAAAUCAAGGCUGAGGCGUGAUGACGAGGCACUACGGUGCUGAAGCAACAAAUGCCCUGCUUCCAGGAAAAGCCUCUAAGCAUCAGGUAACAUCAAAUCGUACCCCAAACCGACACAGGUGGUCAGGUAGAGAAUACCAAGGCGCUUGAGAGAACUCGGGUGAAGGAACUAGGCAAAAUGGUGCCGUAACUUCGGGAGAAGGCACGCUGAUAUGUAGGUGAAGUCCCUUGCGGAUGGAGCUGAAAUCAGUCGAAGAUACCAGCUGGCUGCAACUGUUUAUUAAAAACACAGCACUGUGCAAACACGAAAGUGGACGUAUACGGUGUGACGCCUGCCCGGUGCCGGAAGGUUAAUUGAUGGGGUCAGCGCAAGCGAAGCUCUUGAUCGAAGCCCCGGUAAACGGCGGCCGUAACUAUAACGGUCCUAAGGUAGCGAAAUUCCUUGUCGGGUAAGUUCCGACCUGCACGAAUGGCGUAAUGAUGGCCAGGCUGUCUCCACCCGAGACUCAGUGAAAUUGAACUCGCUGUGAAGAUGCAGUGUACCCGCGGCAAGACGGAAAGACCCCGUGAACCUUUACUAUAGCUUGACACUGAACAUUGAGCCUUGAUGUGUAGGAUAGGUGGGAGGCUUUGAAGUGUGGACGCCAGUCUGCAUGGAGCCGACCUUGAAAUACCACCCUUUAAUGUUUGAUGUUCUAACGUUGACCCGUAAUCCGGGUUGCGGACAGUGUCUGGUGGGUAGUUUGACUGGGGCGGUCUCCUCCUAAAGAGUAACGGAGGAGCACGAAGGUUGGCUAAUCCUGGUCGGACAUCAGGAGGUUAGUGCAAUGGCAUAAGCCAGCUUGACUGCGAGCGUGACGGCGCGAGCAGGUGCGAAAGCAGGUCAUAGUGAUCCGGUGGUUCUGAAUGGAAGGGCCAUCGCUCAACGGAUAAAAGGUACUCCGGGGAUAACAGGCUGAUACCGCCCAAGAGUUCAUAUCGACGGCGGUGUUUGGCACCUCGAUGUCGGCUCAUCACAUCCUGGGGCUGAAGUAGGUCCCAAGGGUAUGGCUGUUCGCCAUUUAAAGUGGUACGCGAGCUGGGUUUAGAACGUCGUGAGACAGUUCGGUCCCUAUCUGCCGUGGGCGCUGGAGAACUGAGGGGGGCUGCUCCUAGUACGAGAGGACCGGAGUGGACGCAUCACUGGUGUUCGGGUUGUCAUGCCAAUGGCACUGCCCGGUAGCUAAAUGCGGAAGAGAUAAGUGCUGAAAGCAUCUAAGCACGAAACUUGCCCCGAGAUGAGUUCUCCCUGACUCCUUGA